rnacentral:rRNA from 1 species
AACAGGAUUAGAUACCCUGGUAGUCCACGCCGUAAACGAUGAGCACUAGGUGUCGGGGUCGCAAGACUUCGGUGCCGCAGUUAACGCAUUAAGUGCUCCGCCUGGGGAGUACGCACGCAAGUGUAAAACUCAAAGGAAUUGACGGGGACCCGCACAAGCAGCGGAGCAUGUGGUUUAAUUCGAAGCAACGCGAAGAACCUUACCAGGACUUGACAUCCUCUUGACAGAUCCUUAAUCGGAUUCUUCUUCGGACAAGAGAGACAGGUGGUGCAUGGUUGUCGUCAGCUCGUGUCGUGAGAUGUUGGGUUAAGUCCCGCAACGAGCGCAACCCUUGCCAUUAGUUGCCAUCAUUUAGUUGGGCACUCUAGUGGGACUGCCGGGGAAAACUCGGAGGAAGGUGGGGAUGACGUCAAAUCAUCAUGCCCCUUAUGUUCUGGGCUACACACGUGCUACAAUGGCCGGUACAACAGGCAGCGAACCCGUGAGGGGGAGCGAAUCCCAAAAGCCGGUCCCAGUUCGGACUGUAGGCUGCAACUCGCCUACACGAAGUUGGAGUUGCUAGUAAUCGCGGAUCAGAAUGCCGCGGUGAAUGCGUUCCCGGGUCUUGUACACACCGCCCGUCACACCAUGGAAGUUGGGGGUGCCCGAAGUCGGUUAGUUAAUCUAUCGCCUAAGGCAAAACCAAUGACUGGGGUGAAGUCGUAACAAGGUAACC